UACAGAGGGUGCGAGCGUUAAUCGGAAUUACUGGGCGUAAAGCGUGCGCAGGCGGUUUGCUAAGACCGAUGUGAAAUCCCCGGGCUCAACCUGGGAACUGCAUUGGUGACCGGCAGGCUAGAGUAUGGCAGAGGGGGGUAGAAUUCCACGUGUAGCAGUGAAAUGCGUAGAGAUGUGGAGGAAUACCGAUGGCGAAGGCAGCCCCCUGGGCCAAUACUGACGCUCAUGCACGAAAGCGUGGGGAGCAAACAGG
rnacentral:rRNA from 1 species